rnacentral:rRNA from 1 species
UACGUAGGUGGCAAGCGUUGUCCGGAUUUACUGGGCGUAAAGAGCGCGCAGGCGGUCGUUCAAGUCGCGUGUGAAAGCCCUCAGCUCAACUGAGGAAGUGCGCCCGAAACUGCUGUGCUUGAGUGCCGGAGAGGAUGGCGGAAUUCCCCAAGUAGAGGUGAAAUUCGCAGAUAUCAGGAGGAACACCGGUGGCGAAGGCGGGUCUCUGGGCCGAUACUGACGCUGAGGAGCGAAAGCGUGGGGAGCGAACAGG